GGACGGUUCAAGCUAAACUCUAUUUGCAACAUGGGUCUCCGUGUCGUGUUCGUGUUUAUGUGCUGCCUUGCUUUAGGAGCAAGUGCUUCGUUCCGCAACAGUUUAACACAGCAUUUGUUCAGGAGGGACCAAGGAUGCCUGCAAGCCUGGGGGAAAAGUUCCAACUUCAGAUUAUACACAAGGAAAAACACCGAUGGAGCGUGUGUGACCGUGGACGCCUCGACGUUCACUAAGGCAGGGUUUGACACCUCUAAGAAUACCUACAUCUUCUCCCACGGAUGGCAGGGUUCUGGUCGGGAAAGAUUCACUGCUCCCAUGGUGCAGGCUCUGUUGAAAAAGAGAAAACGCCAAUGUGAUAGUGGUGGACUGGGCAUCGGGAGCCAAGACGCCGAAUCUGCUCGCUGCGGCUGCGUCAUCAAACGCAGUGGGCGGUGACGUCGGCUGGCUCGUGGGUACCAUGACAACCAUGGGUCAAAGUCCAAAACGUAUCACUCUGAUUGGCCACUCUCUUGGGGCCAAUGUCAUGAAGGUCGCCGGUUUGGGACUUAUUAAUGUGGGCAACAUCAAAGUUGGGCAGCUUGUAGCACUGGACCCUGUCGCUGGCAUAUAUACAGGAGCCGCAGACUUGGUGCAAGUGAUACAUACCAGUUCUGUCGCUGCUCUUGCUGCGGGCGACAUUGAUUUUUACAUCAA